rnacentral:rRNA from 1 species
UACGGAGGGGACUAGCGUUGUUCGGAAUUAUUGGGCGUAAAGAGCUCGUAGGCGGUUUGUCGCGUCGGCCGUGAAAACUUGGGGCUUAACCCCAAGCUUGCGGUCGAUACGGGCAGACUUGAGUUCGGCAGGGGAGACUGGAAUUCCUGGUGUAGCGGUGAAAUGCGCAGAUAUCAGGAGGAACACCGGUGGCGAAGGCGGGUCUCUGGGCCGAUACUGACGCUGAGGAGCGAAAGCGUGGGGAGCGAACAGG